AAUGCUUGUCAAUGGUUCGCUUAUCAAAGAAAAAAAAAGGAAAAUAAGAAAUGAUCAACCAUAUUAUUAUUGUUUUUUUUCUUUUUCAAAACGGAACACAUCAAUUUAAUGGUCUUUCCGAUCGAGACUUGUUCUGAGUUGACGGUGGAUGUAAGAAUUGAGAAUAAAUUUUGCUCUCACGAAAUCAAUUUUACUUGAAACACUUUUAUCACCAUCAUUUCAUAGCAUGACCAUGUACAUGAACAAGUCAGAAACGUGAAGUCACUAAAACUGUACAGUCUUCAAACAAACUAUCUAUGAGAUGGCUUUUCGAUCAACCGAUUGGACAAACACAAUAAAACAUAGGGUAAAUCAAAGCAGCUGUGGAAACAGACGGCUGUUCAUGAAGAAUUCGAAUACAGUUUGGGUUAUGCUGGAGGAUAUUCCACUUCAUUGGAUCACUGUGCCGAUCAGUGUUCCUUAUUCGAUGGCCGAUCAACUAGCGAAUGCGAAGGGUGUUCGAGAAUUAUUAUUGAAAUAAAAAAAGCGAAGAUAUUUUCAACCAAGAAAUUGGUGAACUGUUCAAUCACAUGGAUUUCGUGUGGAGACCAAAUAGCGCUUCUCUAAUUCACACAAAAAUAUUACAAUUUUUCAAUAAAUA